rnacentral:rRNA from 1 species
AGAGUUUGAUCCUGGCUCAGGAUGAACGCUAGCUACAGGCUUAACACAUGCAAGUCGAGGGGAAACGAUAUUGGAAGCUUGCUUCCGAUAGGCGUCGACCGGCGCACGGGUGAGUAACGCGUAUCCAACCUGCCCAUCACUUGGGGAUAACCUUGCGAAAGUAAGACUAAUACCCAAUGACGUCUCUAGAAGACAUCUGAAGGAGAUUAAAGAUUUAUCGGUGAUGGAUGGGGAUGCGUCUGAUUAGCUUGUUGGCGGGGUAACGGCCCACCAAGGCAACGAUCAGUAGGGGUUCUGAGAGGAAGGUCCCCCACAUUGGAACUGAGACACGGUCCAAACUCCUACGGGAGGCAGCAGUGAGGAAUAUUGGUCAAUGGGCGAGAGCCUGAACCAGCCAAGUAGCGUGCAGGAAGACGGCCCUAUGGGUUGUAAACUGCUUUUAUAAGGGAAUAAAGUGAGUCUCGUGAGACUUUUUGCAUGUACCUUAUGAACAAGGACCGGCUAAUUCCGUGCCAGCAGCCGCGGUAAUACGGAAGGUCCGGGCGUUAUCCGGAUUUAUUGGGUUUAAAGGGAGCGUAGGCCGGAGAUUAAGCGUGUUGUGAAAUGUAGACGCUCAACGUCUGCACUGCAGCGCGAACUGGUUUCCUUGAGUACGCACAAAGUGGGCGGAAUUCGUGGUGUAGCGGUGAAAUGCUUAGAUAUCACGAAGAACUCCGAUCGCGAAGGCAGCUCACUGGAGCGCAACUGACGCUGAAGCUCGAAAGUGCGGGUAUCGAACAGGAUUAGAUACCCUGGUAGUCCGCACGGUAAACGAUGGAUGCCCGCUGUUGGUCUGAACAGGUCAGCGGCCAAGCGAAAGCAUUAAGCAUCCCACCUGGGGAGUACGCCGGCAACGGUGAAACUCAAAGGAAUUGACGGGGGCCCGCACAAGCGGAGGAACAUGUGGUUUAAUUCGAUGAUACGCGAGGAACCUUACCCGGGCUUGAAUUGCAGAGGAAGGAUUUGGAGACAAUGACGCCCUUCGGGGUCUCUGUGAAGGUGCUGCAUGGUUGUCGUCAGCUCGUGCCGUGAGGUGUCGGCUUAAGUGCCAUAACGAGCGCAACCCCUCUCCUUAGUUGCCAUCAGGUUAAGCUGGGCACUCUGGGGACACUGCCACCGUAAGGUGUGAGGAAGGUGGGGAUGACGUCAAAUCAGCACGGCCCUUACG